rnacentral:rRNA from 2 species
UCCUACGGGGGGCUGCAGUGGGGAAUCUUGGACAAUGGGCGCAAGCCUGAUCCAGCCAUGCCGCGUGAGUGAAGAAGGCCUUAGGGUUGUAAAGCUCUUUUACCAGGGACGAUAAUGACGGUACCUGGAGAAUAAGCCCCGGCAAACUUCGUGCCAGCAGCCGCGGUAAUACGAAGGGGGCUAGCGUUGUUCGGAAUUACUGGGCGUAAAGCGCACGUAGGCGGGUCGUUAAGUCAGGGGUGAAAUCCCGGAGCUCAACUCCGGAACUGCCUUUGAUACUGGCGAUCUAGAGAUCGAGAGAGGUGAGUGGAAUUCCGAGUGUAGAGGUGAAAUUCGUAGAUAUUCGGAAGAACACCAGUGGCGAAGGCGGCUCACUGGCUCGAUACUGACGCUGAGGUGCGAAAGCGUGGGGAGCAAACAGGAUUAGAUACCCUAGUAGUC